ACCAGAGUCGAAAGGAAGAUGCCUGGGAGCCUGCAGUCGAAGUUUUAAGCAAACGUCACAGCAAAAACAGCCUUAAAAGAAGAGAAGACAAAAUGUAACCAAAGCUUACCAGACCACAGGAGGGUCAUCACCGGAGUCAGAAGGCGGACGCCCGGGAUCCUGCAGUCGGACUUGGGUCAUGCCCCAGCAUACGACAACACAGCAGCCUUCAGCUCCUCCUUCGUGUUCCAGGGAUACAUGUGCAGAAUUGUUACAUAGGUAAGUUGUGUCUCAUGGGGGUUUGGUGUACAAAUAAUGUUGCCACCCAGGUAAUUAGUGUGGUCCCACCCUCCAUCUUCAAAUAGACCCCAGUGUCUGUUAUUCCCUCAUUUGAGCCCAUGCGUACUCAAUGAAUUGCAUCUACUUAUAAGUGAGAAUGUGGGGUAUUGGGUUUUCUGUUCCUGAAUUAAUUUUUCAAACCUAAUGGCCUCCAGCUCCACCCGUGUUUCUACAGAGGCCACGGUCUUAUUCUUUUUGUGGCUUCAUAGUGUUCCAUGGUAUAUAAUGAUGUUCUUUUUUUCUAGUUAUUGUUUUUGAUUUAAAGUUUGUUUUAUCUUAUAUGAGAAUAGAAACACCUGCUUGCUUUUGGUUUCUCUUUACUUGGAAUAUUUUCUUCCGUCUCUCUACUUUCAGUCUAUAUGUGUCUUUAGUGGUGACGUGUUUCUUUUCAGCAGCAUACAGUUAGGUCUUGUUUUUAGAAUCCAUUCAGUCCAUUUGUAUAAUUGAAGUGACAAAUUUAUUUUCAUUCAAAGUUAUUAUUGAUAUAUGAGGUUUUCUUUCUGAUGGUGCAAUUUUUACCUGGAUGUUCUGAGUAUUCUUUGUUCUUUUUUAAAACCUAUUAUUGUUUAGUGUUGUGGUAUGGUGGCUUUCUGUAGCGGUAAAAUUUGAGACUUUUUAUUACUCAUUUGUGUGUUUGCUUUAAGAGUAAGUUUUACACUUUAAUAUGUUUUCAAGAUAGUAGAUUUUGCCCUUUUUCUUCCAGGUUAGGACUUUAUUAAGCAUUUCUUGUAGUGCCAGUCUAAUGGUUAUGAAUUUCCUCAGUUUUUGCUUGUUUGGCAAAUAAUUUACUUAAAUUUUUUAAAAAAUGAUCUGGAUAUAGUUUUCCUGGAUAACAGUUGUUUUCUUUCAGCACUUAACAUCUCAUGCCAUUAUCUCUGGGCCAGUAAAAUUUUGACUGAGAAAGCCAUUCUUAAUCUGAUGGAGAUUUGUUUAUAUGUGACUAGAUGCUUUUAUUUUGCUGUUUUUAGAAUUAUCCCUUUGUCUGUGACUUAUGGCAGUUUCACUAUCAUAUGCCAGUGAGACAUUUUUGAAUUGUAUUUAUUUGGGUUGAUAUGGUUUGGCUCUGUGUCCCCACUCAAAUCUCACCUUGAAUUAAAUCCCCAUAAUCCCCAUGUGUUAAGGGUGGGACCGGGUGGAGAUAGUUGAAUCAUGAGGGCAGUUUCCUUCAUGCUGUUCUCAUGACAGUAAGUGAGUUCUCACAAGAUCGGAUGGUUUUAUAGGUAUCUGACAUUUCCCCUGCUUGCACUCCCUUCAUCCGGCCACCCUGUGAAAAAGGUGCCUUUUUCUCCUUUGCUUUCUGCCAUGAUUAUAAAUUUCUUGGGGCCUCCCCAGCCAUGUGGAACUGUGAGUCAAUUAAACUUUUUUUUUAAAUAAAUCACCCAGUCUUGGGUAUUUCUUCAUAGCAGUAUAAAAAUGGACUUAUACAGUAAAUUGUUACCUAGGUAGUGGGGUGCUGCUAUCAGGAUACCCAAAAAUGUGGAAGCGACUUUGGAACCGGGUAACAGGCAGAGAUUGGAACAGUUUGGAGGACUUAGAAUAAGAUAGGAAAAUGUGGGAAAGAUAGAAACUUCCUAGAGAUUUGGAGGACUCAGAAGAAAGGAAGAUGUGGCAAAGUUUGGAACUUCCUAGAGACUUGUUAAAUGGCUUUGACCACAAUGCCGAUAACGGUAUGUGCAAUAAAAAGCAGGCUGAGGUGGUCUCAGAUGGCGGUGAGGAACUUGGUGGGAACUGGAGUAAAGGUGACCCUUGCUGUGUUUUAGCAAGGAGACUGGCAGCAUUUUGGCCCUUCCCUAACGAUUGGUGGAACUCUGAACUUGAGGGAGAUGGUUUAGGGUGUCUGGCAGAAGAAAUUUCUAAGCAGCGAAACAUUCAAAAGGUAACUUGGGUGCUGUUAAAAGCAUUCCACUUUAAAAGGAAAUCAGCAUAAAAGUUCGGAAAGUGUGCGGCUUGACAAUGUGACAGAAAAGAAAAACCCAUUUUCUGAGCAGAAAUUCAAGCUGGCUGCAGAAAUUUGCAUAAGUAACAAGGAGCCGAAUGUUAAUUUCCAAGAUCAUGGGGAAAAUGUCUCCAGGACAUGCCAGAGACCUUUGCAGUUGCCCCUCUCAUCACAGGCCCAGAGGCCUAGGAGGAAAACAUGGUUUCCUGGGCCAGAUGCAGGGCCUGCCCGCUAUGUGCAACCUAGGGACUUGGUGCCCUGUGUCUCAGCCACUCCCAUCAUGGCUAAAAGGGGCCAAGGUACAGCUCGGGUUGUUGCUUCAGAGGGUGCAAGCCCCAAGCCUUGGCAUCUUACACGUGGUGUUGAGCCUGUGGGUGCACGGAAGUCAAGAAUUGAGGUUUGGGAACUUCUGCCUAGAUUUCAGAGGAUAUCUGGAAACACCUGGAUGCCCAGGCAGAAGUUUGCUGCAAGGGCAGGGCCCUCAUGGAGAACAUCUGCUAAGCCAGUGCAGAAGGCAAAUGUGGGGUUGGAGCCCCCACACAGAGGGCCCACUGGGGAACCACCUAGUGGGCCUGUGAGAAGAGGAGCACUGUCCUCCAGACCCCAGAAUGGUCGCACCUGAAAAAUCAGUAGACACUCAACACCAGCCUGUAAAUGCAGCCAGGAUCCGGGCUAUAACCUGCAAAGCAACAGGGGCGGAGCUGCCCAAGGCUGUGGGAACCCACCUCUUCCAUCAGUGUGACCUGGAUGUGAGGCAUGGAGUCAAAGGAGAUCAUUUUGGAGCUUUAAGAUUUGACUGCCUCGCUGGAUUUUGGACUUGUAUGGGGCCUUUAGCUCCUUUAUUCUGGCCAAUUUCUCCCAUUGGGAAUAGUUGUAUUUACCCAAUACUUGUACCUCCAUUGUCUCGAGGAAGUAACUAACUUGCUUUUUAAUUUUACAGGCUUGUAGGCAGAAGGGGCUUGCCCUGUCUCAGAUAAGACUUUGGUCUGUGGAUUUUUGAGUUAAUGAUGAAAUGAGUUAAGACUUUGGAGGACUGUUGGGAAGGCAUUAUUGUUUUUGAAAUGUGAGGACAUGAGAUUUGGCAAAGGACCAAGGGCGGAAUGAUAUGAUUUGGCUCUGUGUCCGCACCUAACUCUUAUCUUGAAUUCUAAUUCCCAUAAUUCCCACAUGUUGUGGGAGGGACUUGGUGAGACAUAAUUGAUUCUUGGGGUCAGUUUCCCCCAUACCACUGUGGUAGUGGGUAAGUCUCAUGAGAUCUGAUGAUUUUAUAAGGGGUUUCCGCUUUGGCUUCUCUCUCAUCCUCUCUUGCCACCACCAUGAAAGAACUUUUCACCUUCCUUCAUGAUUGUGAGGCCUCCCCAGCCGUGUGGAACUGUGAGUCCAUUAAACCUGUUUCUUCCAAGUCUUAGGUAUGUCUUUAUCAGCAGGUCUACAGAUUUGUCAUUGGUUUUGUUAAAUUAUGCCAAAAUUAAUAAUGUUUAUAAGCUGUGUAAUCAAAUACCAAUUUAUAUAUUUUCUGUUUUGUUUUGUUCUUUUUUUUGUCAUUGGGGAAAAUUUAGAAACUGUAAAUGUAAAGAAGAAAAUUAAAAUUAUGUAUUUACUUCAAGA